CUAUGUCAACUCAGUGCUGGAGGGCAAGAAGAAGAGCAUCCUGCUCACCUGUUUCAACAGUGUCUUCUUGCUGCCCUCACACGAGUAUUUGGAGUGCCAGAGCCGCAUCUACUACUUGAGGACCCUGGACGCCAUGGACCGCAUGCUGAGGCUGUUCAUCAGAAAUUCUCCCCUCUCCGGCUUCAGUGAGCUGCAGGACAUCUUGCAGGUCUGCCACUUGCCAAGAGCAGUGUUCCCAGGGGCGCUUCCUCACCCGGAGGGAAUUCAGCAUCCACUGCGGAACGGACAGACCCUACUUCAGUGCCAAUGCACAGGCAGCACAGGGCAGGAAGGGUGCCCGCCUCCCUUGGGGGAACCGGGGGCUGCCCACUGAGGUCUUCUGGCAGCCCCGUAUCCCCUGGCUGCAGACCUUUCCCCUCCACAGACUCCUCCUGUGUCGGAGAAAAGCCUUGCCCAUGGCACUCCUGGGCUUCCUUUGCGUCUACACAGCGGCAGGAAUUGGACCCCUCUUCCCAGGCACUGCACUGGUCACCACUGGUGCUGCUGCUGUCCACCUGCCUCCCUGUCCGUGGUGCUUUCCUCCCGAGAUCGGAGUGCUGCGGGAGCCCAGCACUGAUGCUCCUGCUUUAGCGGGCAUCAGCUCCCAGGGCAGACCAGCACUUUCUCCCCUCACAGAUUCUGCUGCUCUUUGCCAACUCCCACAGAGAAGCCAUUUGCGAGAGGGCCGUGGGGAGGGCCGCGAAGCUGACCAGCUGGCUAGCCACACGCUUCUCACCGGAGGACCACAGCGCUGAUGGAGGAUACACUGAGUGCAAUGUGCCGCUCCUGGGACAGUUGGUGGGAUGGCUCCUCCUUUGCCACACUUGCGAGAAUAGGCAGAUACGAUGGGAGGCUUUGGAUGCUCUUUAUUACCUCUACCAAUUCAUCCAGAAAAACAAACUUUGGAAAAUACCUCCAGCAGUCUCAGAGGACAGACGUCAUCCUCAAGGUCAUUGAAGCCCUGAGAGACUCCAACACAUACGACAAGCAGGAGGUCAGCGGUGUGCUGGACAUGGCCAUCGAAGACCCUGCCUCCUGGCUGACCGACGUGCCAGAGAUCGUGAGGUGCAUCUACAGACACGUGGAGUGCAUCAACACGGCAUCAGCCCGGCGCAGCCUGGACAACCUCAUCCUCUGUCUGGCCAACCAGCGGCCAAGGGAGGUGGCCAGCACCCUGCUGCAGAUGUGGCCAUCAUCUGACAGCGCUGCCCUGGCCAUGUGGGAAACCAUGUUCUCCCAGAAGCAGACGAUGGAGAAUGUCCUGAGGGAGACACUUGGCGUGCUCCAGGAGCAGAAGCUGCGCGGGCUCCCGGGCUUCAUCCCAGAGGACAACUGCAUCCCUCACUUGGCGCUGCUGGCCCACCCAGAUGUUGGAGAAGACGACUCGGAGGCCCUGCGCCACCUCCAGAGGCUCUUGAAGCAUCCCAACCGAGUGACGUACUCGGUGGUGCUCAGCGCUCUCCUCCCAGCGUCAGAGACACCUGUCACGGCAAGAAAACUUCCCGUGCUGCUGCCAGGCAUCAUUCAGGGCCUGCACGUUGCCAGGGCUGACACCAAGAUGAAGGCCCUGCUUCUCAUCGGAAACGUGAUGGAUCACGUGAAGAGGAAGCAGGCCAGCUCCAUCGCUCUGCAAGUGGCUGGGGACAUCCUGCCACUGUUUAACGAUGAGUGCAGCCAGCUGCAAGAGCUCUCCAUCUGCCUCUACAACAAAGUGAUGCAGGCUGCGUUGUGGUACCACAAGAGGCAGCUGAAGAAGGUCGUGCAGAGGGGCCUGCUCCCACUCUUUUUUCACCUGAGUGACCAGACCCAGAGCGUGGCCAAGGCCUCCCUGGAAGCCCUUGUCACCGCUGCAGACUUCCUGAAGCAGGGAAAACUCAAGCACCUGGCGCAGACAGAGCAGACCUGGAAGAUCGCAGAGUACUUGCUCGUGCAGGACAAGGGAAAGGUGGAGAAAUACCUGCAGCAGAGCCUGCCGUACCUGCAGCACACUCAGGUCGCCUUGCGGGAGGCAGCCGUCAGGUUCAUCGGUCUUGCCGCGCAGCACUGCAAGGACCAGAGCGAGAUGAAGAUCCAUGAAAUCUGCAGCAUCCUCCGGCCCUUGCAGAAUGACGAGGAGGAAAGUGUUGUGUCUCUGGCCACUCAGACCAUCUUCAUCCUGACACGUCCAAGGGAGCAGCUGACAUCGAGCUGGUGCCGGCGGGCACUGUGCUGCUGCCUCUCCUAAGCCAGGGAGAGGCACAAAACCUUCAAACGCCUGCAUUCCAUUAAAAUUCCAACACCACGUGCAGGGCCGUGGAAUCCUUUGCAUGGUGUGCUGAGCAUUCCAGCCUCUACCGUAGUGGGCAGCUGUAAGGGUUUUAGGUGGUGUGGUGGGGAAUGGCUUAGGGGCGGUGGCUUAUGGAAAACGGACUCCACAAUCCAUAAGAUUGUAAAGUAGGUGUGUUUAUUCAGCGCUGGGCGGCACGGGGGUAGUCCCCCUGUGAGAAACAAAGUUGUGUUUUUGCAGUACAGAACUAAUUUUCUGUAUUGCAAGGUAGUUGUGUAGUCAUAACAAGGAGAAAUGCUAAGUAGAUGAGUGGACGGUAGAAGGCCUCGCUGUUCCAAAAUAAGUUGCAAGCUUGAGACAAACAGGAUGAGCAGUAUGAGAACAGUAAAACAAAGAUCACAAGACCUCAACACACAAGAAGGGAGAAAUUCAAGGGUUGAAAACAAGAAAAAUGGUACAUAUAUGGUAUAGAGGAGGGUCGAGCAGCUUGUGAACCUGUAGUACUCUGCCAAUGAGGAAACAGGGGAGGUGAUCAGGUGUCGGGUAAUAGGGCAUAAAAGGUUAGGAUUUGUCUACUAAAAUGCGCUCCUGAUUGACAGGACGCCCGCCCUUGCAAUCGCGAAUAAAAUAGCUUCACAGAAGAUUCUGUCUAAAGAAAGUUAUGUGAGAUUUUCCUCACACCACCAAGGUCAUGCGCACCUCAUGCGGCAACUUGCCUUGCUUAUCUGCAGCAAAGAGUUACUAGGCCUGAAGUUCCACAACGCACCUGUACAUAUUCACAGUCUGUCCCCACUUCGUCUUAAAAUUAGUCCCAAGCAGUCAUUGCUGGAAACUCCUCCCAUCUGCGCUUGCGCAGUGUCUCCUGGUGGUCGUCAUCAGGGGUCGUGGGGAUGAAGGUUGGUGACUCUUCCUCGUCACUGCAAAAUAACAUCAUCUUCCUAUCCAUAAGCAUGCUGUAAAUAUUACUCACUUGAAGAAGAGCUGCAUGCAGAAAAGGCACCUACUACUACAUAGAUGGCUAUACUCUCAAAGAUCCUAAAAAAAGCUUCUUGCUUUAGGUAAUUUGCACAAUGUACCACGGCUAGCAAAGACGCUGAGCAGCAUCCUAGCUUAAUGCCAUCAGCGCUCUAUCUGUGCUUGAUAAGAGUCUCCUAACUCCCUCUCUCUGUCCCCCCAUUUCUAUAUAGUUAGUGCAUUCAUUUCAUUUCUAAAAGGUAGUAAAUUAUUGUAUUCUCCUAACUCCCUCUCUCACUGACCACCUCCCUGGUGCAAAUGGGAGGAGUUUCCGGAAAUGACUGCUUGGGACUAAUUUUAAGACGAAGCGGGGACAGGCUAUGAAUAUGUACGGGCGCGUUGUGAAACUUCAGGCCCAUGUAACUCUUUGCUGCAGAUAAGCAAGGCAAGUUGCCACGUCAGGUAGUCAUUGGUGGGAUUACCCCCCGUUCUGCCCAGCGCUUACAAGCUUACUGAUUGUGGACUCCUUUUUCUUUAAGUCAGCUUGCCUGUGGGCACCGGGCUCCUUUCAGGGUCUGCCGAGGCCCCCGUUUGCUCUCGUGUCUCUUGCCAUCCAGCGCAUCCCAUAGCCCCGGGGAACACCCUUCAGCACCCUGCGGAGCCCUGCCUGUCCCCUUCCGCAAGGGUCAAUGUUGAAGAUCGACUCCACCUUAAGGGCCAUAGUGCCUUUUGUGGCUUCUCUGGUCUCUUUGAAACAAUGAGGAUAAAACAGAAAAGAUGUAACAUAGCAAGCUGAAGGGAUUGCUGAACUUGAUAAAUUGUUGUAUCGGCCUUGCUUUUGUAUAUAAGACUCAGUUCUAGCCACAAAAUCAAGGCUGAAGAAGAAACAUGGUGCCCAUGAAAUUAGCCUUAAUUGAAUUAGCCUUUCUUUGCCUGCUCCUCCUGCACGUACGUCCUGGAGGAGCUGUACAUUUGGGGGUAGAUGGGGAGGGGUGAGGGUUGUCAUAUUUACCCAGAUAUUGCCCCUUACAUAAUCGUAUCUCCCUGUCUCUAAGGGGGAAACGGAUCCUAGGCCAGGAGCUGGUGGGGCUCAUUGAGAGGGCUUUAAACUAGGUAAGACGGGGGACGGGGCUGAAACAAAGCUUGUUAGAGCUGUGCCGGGGGGACAAUGGCAAGGCUGGGAGAGAAGGCAAUGGCCCAAGUGAAGUGCAUCUCCACUAAUGCAUGCAGCAUUGGUAAUGGCAUGCAUUAAUGCCAUGAGCGCAGUGUUGUGGGGAAAUCCCUGAGUGCGUGCAGCAGGCUUCAGAAUUCACUUGCAGAGGCAGGAAAUGUCCCCAUCCCGCAGCACCGCUGCAUCCUGCCAGCGUGCAGGGUUCUUUAGGUGGGUCAGAGGGUAUGGGCUGAUGCGUUUCCAAGUUGAGAGAGAGAAGCACGUCUUUUUGAGGUAACAACUCGUAGGAUCUUUGCGAGUAAAGCCAUCUUUGUAGUAGUAGGUGCCUUUACCGCAUGCAGCUCUUCUUCAAGUGAGUAAUUUUUACAGCGUGCUUAUGGAUAGUUGUUGUUUUGUUAACAACUUCUUACGUCGUUGUUAACAAAUGAUGUUAUUUUGCGUGUUUUCUCUGUGGUUCUAGGUCCCUUCUGAUUUUUGCAGAAUUACGGGGCUUCCUGCAAUUGUGACCUUAUGCCUUCACCUCUAUUUCAAAUAUUAUCAAAGUUGCAACAUUGGUGGUAAAGUGAUGGAGCAGGGUUUAGGGGAUAUGUAUCAUCCAAGUUCCCUGUGCCAGAGUGUAUCUGAAAACAACAGCAGUAGGCAUGUAAGAUGUAGCCUUUUUCAGGGUUGGAGACAGUUUCUUUUGUUUUUGGAGCUUUUUGCUGCUCUUUUGCUGGCUGUAGAGUCUUGUAACCUUCUGGAUUUUAAGUGCUUGGAAUUCUCUUAAUAGGGGGAUAUUUAGCAUCAGUUGCUGGCUAACUUGGUUUUGGGAUGUGGUGGCGUAUGCUUCUGUUUUGGGGUUAUAAGUUAAUCUACAAAUAUAAUAUUUGUAACCUUUUUGGGUUAUAUUUUAAUCUCUAGAUAUAUCAAGCCAUUCUUUGUGAAUCCUCUUCAGAAGAUAGGCGCAGUAUUAUCAAGAGACUGAGCAGGGUCACCUUUUUCAUCUGUGAAGGAUAAGUCUGCAAUUACCCGUGCUGGGGCUGCUGUGCAUUCAUGUCCUGUUGGCAUUUGUGGACCUGUAGUGGUUUAACCCGGCCGGCAGCUAAACACCACACAGCUGUUUGCUCACCCUCCCCCCUCCCUCUCUGGGAUGGGAGAGAAACGGGAAAGCGAAGCCCGUGAGUUGAGAUAAAGACAGUUUAUUAAGACAGGAAAAUAAUAGUAACAAUAGAUGUAAUAAUAA
rnacentral:lncRNA from 1 species